rnacentral:rRNA from 1 species
GAAUAAGCAUCGGCUAACUCCGUGCCAGCAGCCGCGGUAAUACGGAGGAUGCGAGCGUUAUCCGGAUUCAUUGGGUUUAAAGGGUGCGUAGGCGGACUAUUAAGUCAGUGGUGAAAUCCUGCAGCUUAACUGCAGAACUGCCAUUGAUACUGAUAGACUUGAGUUUGGUUAAGGUAGGCGGAAUGUGUAAUGUAGCGGUGAAAUGCUUAGAUAUUACACAGAACACCAAUUGCGUAGGCAGCUUACUGAGCCGAUACUGACGCUGAGGCACGAAAGCGUGGGGAUCGAACAGGAUUAGAUACCCUGGUAGUCCACGCCGUAAACGAUGAUUACUCGCUGUUGGCGAUACACUGUCAGCGGCUAAGCAAAAGCAAUAAGUAAUCCACCUGGGGAGUACGGCCGCAAGGUUG